ensembl:processed_transcript A230072C01Rik RIKEN cDNA A230072C01 gene
AGUCUCGCUGCAGUACGUCACUGAUAAAGCCACUCAACGUUGGGGAUGACUUCUUUCGGCUCGAGCUACGGAGUUGCUUCUGCCCAACCCGAUUUUGGAACUCGUUCACUCACCGGUACAGGAGUACGGCGUUUACCGUAGGGCCACCGGCAAUAACUGCCAGAAGAAGUUGUGGGAUUCCCUGGAACUGGAGCAACCAACAGUUUGUGUGCACCAUGUGGGUAAUGGGAAUCGAACCUGGGUCCUCUAUAAGACUGGCCAGUGCUCUUAACUACUGAGGUGCAUUUCUUUCGGAAUUGAUUCACAUAACUAUUAUGCUAUACUGUUUGAAGUAUUUAUUAGAAAAACAUCAGAAAGAGAUUUGGACCACUUUCAUUUACAUGAAGAAAUAUCUUAGGGUUUCUUUUCAGGUAUCUUUGAGUAUCUUCUGACACUAGAAGAUCCUGUAAACUCUACAGACUUCAACAGAAUUGAAGAACCUGGACAGAGCAGAGUUACCAACAAGAGAGCCCAGGGAUAGCAUUAACAUGGUGGUUACUCAAGACCUAACUCAGCCAGGGAGACAUACCAAGGCCUAUGAGGUGAAGGGAAAAGAAGGGUGACCCAAAGGGCAGGAUUUUUUUAUCCUGAACUUUUGAGCCUUAUAGAAAAACAUAAUUUGUUGGGCAUGUUUUCUGACCCUCAUACAGUUUUUACAACCAUUUGAAGAUAUAGUUCUAGCUCUAGUAGGCUCUACAGGAAGGUAUAUCAAACUUUUUAACAGAACACUUUAUUAUUUUAAAUAUAUGAGUAUUUCACCUGCAUAGGCGCACAGUGCCCACAGAGACUAGAAGAGGGUGGCAGAUCUCCUGAGACUAGAGUUAAUGCUUGUGAGCUGCCAUGUGGAUGCUGGAAAUCAAACCCAGGUCCUUUGGAAGGCAGGCAGGUGCUCUUAAUCAUGGAAGCAUCUCUUCAGCUCCUACCCUAGUUCUUUAAUUUUGUUUUAAAUUUUUGAGGUAGGGUUUUGCUAAGUUACUUGGGCUGGCCUUGGACUAGUAACCAUUCUGUGUCAGCCUUCUGGGAUUAGAGGUAUGUGCUAGCAUGUCUAGCAUCUUUCUAUUUCUUUGGUUUUCCUUCUAAUUAAUUAAAAAAUACAUUAUCUUCU